UCCCUGGAGGACUAGUGGUUAGGCCAGGUGCUAUCACUGCUGCGGCCUGGGUUUGAUUCCCAGCCAGGGAA